rfam:Capsicum annuum cultivar Zunla-1 chromosome 1, whole genome shotgun sequence
UUGAGCUGUACGAGAUGAAAGUCUCAUAUACGGUUCUCAGGGGGGGAGUUCCGCCUAUCUCAAU